AAAAAUUGGGUCAUUAUAUGUUGCAAAUCCUGACCAAUUAAAUUUUAAUCGAUUGAUCAGAACCAAUUUGAUAACACUCCUUGACUAAUAGCGAAUAUUUAAUAGUAAAUAAAAUACUAAUUAAUCCCAAAUUAUUUGAGUUUAUUCAUAGAAACGAUUGAGAAACAUGCUUUUCCUUUGAGAAUAGAUUUUAUAAGAGAAACAAAUAAUAAUAGUGUUGGAACAAAGUAGACUUUCUUUGUAGGAUGCGGUUCUCCUAUCUUAUAUAAGCUAGCAAGCACAAAACUACUACAUAGAUAAGGCCAUUAUUAUCUCCAUUUCACAUAGGAACAGUGUUGAACACCUUCAACCCACCCAUCACUCACUCCUUUCCUAUAUUUGUUCUUUCAUCCUUAUUUAAUUACAUGGGAAACAAUUCAAGUGUCGAGAGUAGCGAAGAGUUCUCGUACGUUGUUCAAAAGGGUAGUUAAAACCUUGUAUUAUGACAGGAUUCAUUCAAGUAGAGAAGUUUUUCGCUAUUCAAAUAGGUAUUUUCCUCCCCCGUUCGAGGGAGGUUAAAGUUAAACUAUAUCGAGGGACGCUUAUUUAUAUGGAGUGAAAAGAUUGACAUAGGCCUUUCGGCGACGGUGACCAUUACAGAUAACAGGUGGAGUGCUAGCUCUGGCCUUGAGUUCAAGGGUCCAUUCCAGCACCCUGCUUCUGCACUGUUUCAUAUGUUUGAUGAGUUCAGGAAAAACAAAUAUCCACACUAUUUGCCACCUAGGUGACUCCACUGUGAGCAUCUGUUGUCAUCUGGAAGCGGCGAAAGCAACAAUUCUACCGCGUCUUCCCCACUUGAACAGAUAAUAGGAAGGAGCUUUCUUAACAACACAGGAAACAUUUAAGGAGAUGGGAACGGUAAUAUAUUAAUCAAGAACCUUUUGUAUAGAAGGUAGAGGAAAUUUGUCAUUGCCUCGUUAAUGGGAUGUUGAUUUAGACUGGAAAAUUGUUGUUAGUGAUGAUGUUUUCGUUUUGGCAUUGAAUGAAGCCAAGAAGGACGUUUCUCUUUCAUGAAUCUAGCAUGAUACACAGUUCUGCUAAGGGUUUAGCACUGUAUACAUGAUAAAUAAUCUUCAAAGUUUAUUUCUAGCAUGUCAUUUUAUCUAAACAAUAAAUCUAAAUCUUAUCACCAAUUUAUGUA